GUCAGUCUCCUAAGGCUGCCCUGACAAACCACUGCAAACUUGGUGAUUUAAAACAAAAAUGAAUUCUUUCAAAGAUCUGAGGCCAGAAAUCUGAAAUCAAGCCUAUAGAAUGUGUUGAUCAGAGGCUGAUGUGACACCUGCCAGAGAUCUACCCUUCAAAAUUCAGUUUUUCUCCCACGAAUAGAACUAUCCACGAACUCUACUGACAGACAGCAUCAGCAAUAAAACCAGUUUCCAGGAGGACUGCCUUGAUUACUGCUUUGCACCAGAUAUAAAUAAAAAUGGAAAAGUUUACCUGAUAUAGUCAGAAAAUUGGCUUUGGA